AUCAACUUUCGAUGGUAGGAUAGAGGCCUACCAUGGUGGUAACGGGUAACGGGGUGUUAGGGCACGACACCGGAGAGGGAGCCUGAGAAACGGCUACCACAUCCAAGGAUGGCAGCAGGCGCGCAAAUUACCCAAUCCCGACACGGGGAGGUAGUGACAAUAAAUAACAAUACGGGGUUCUUUCGGAUCUCGUAAUUGGAAUGAGUACAAUUUAAAUCUCUUAACGAGGAACAAUUGGAGGGCAAGUCUGGUGCCAGCAGCCGCGGUAAUUCCAGCUCCAAUAGCGUAUAUUAAAGUUGUUGCAGUUAAAAAGCUCGUAGUUGAACUUCGGGAUCAAUGUUUCGGUCAUGCCGUUGGUAUGUACUGAUAUUAUUGGUUUCUCACCUUCUAAAGAACCGUAAUGCCAUUAAUUUGGUGUCACGGGGAAUUAGAACUGUUACCUUGAAAAAAUUAGAGUGUUUAAAGCAGGCUCACGCUUGAAUACAUUAGCAUGGAAUAAUGAAAUAGGACAUCCGAUUCUAUUUUGUUGGUUUCUAGGAUCGAUGUAAUGAUUAAUAGGGAUAGUUGGGGGCAUUAGUAUUCAAUUGUCAGAGGUGAAAUUCUUGGAUUUAUUGAAGACUAACUACUGCGAAAGCAUUUGCCAAGGAUGUUUUCAUUAAUCAAGAACGAAAGUUAGGGGAUCGAAGACGAUCAGAUACCGUCGUAGUCUUAACCAUAAACUAUGCCGACUAGGGAUCGGAUGAUGUUAAUUUUUUAAUGACUCAUUCGGCGCCUUACGGGAAACCAAAGUGUUUGGGUUC
rnacentral:rRNA from 1 species